rnacentral:misc_RNA from 1 species
GAUGAAGAACGUAGCGAAAUGCGAUAAGUAAUGUGAAUUGCAGAAUUCAGUGAAUCAUCGAAUCUUUGAACGCACAUUGCGCCCGCCAGUAUUCUGGCGGGCAUGCCUGUCCGAGCGUCAUUUCAACCCUCGAACCCCUCCGGGGGGUCGGCGUUGGGGAUCGGCCCUUUACGGGGCCGGCCCCGAAAUACAGUGGCGGUCUCGCCGCACCCUCUCCUGCGCAGUAGUUUGCACACUCGCAUCGGGAGCGCGGCGCGUCCACAGCCGUUAAACACCCCAAACUUCUGAAAUGUUGACCUCGGAUCAGGUAGGAAUACCCGCUGAACUUAAGCAUAUCAAUAAGCGGAGGA